GAUGAACGCUGGCAGCGUGCUUAACACAUGCAAGUCGAACGGUAAGGCCCUUCGGGGUACACGAGUGGCGAACGGGUGAGUAACACGUGGGUGAUCUGCCCUGCACUUCGGGAUAAGCCUGGGAAACUGGGUCUAAUACCGGAUAGGACUCCUGGCUUCAUGGUUGGGGGUGGAAAGCUUUUGCGGUGUGGGAUGGGCCCGCGGCCUAUCAGCUUGUUGGUGGGGUAAUGGCCUACCAAGGCGACGACGGGUAGCCGGCCUGAGAGGGUGACCGGUCACACUGGGACUGAGAUACGGCCCAGACUCCUACGGGAGGCAGCAGUGGGGAAUAUUGCACAAUGGGCGCAAGCCUGAUGCAGCGACGCCGCGUGAGGGAUGACGGCCUUCGGGUUGUAAACCUCUUUCAGCUAUGACGAAGCGCAAGUGACGGUAGUAGCAGAAGAAGGACCGGCCAACUACGUGCCAGCCGCCGCCGUAA
rnacentral:rRNA from 1 species